rnacentral:tRNA from 1 species
GGUUCGGUAGUUUAAGUAGUAAAAUGUUAGAUUGCAAGUCUGAAGUUAUGUUCUGUCAUCUGAACUU